GAAGGCCAGGCUGAAGACUUUGCCGGAUUAGCUGAGAGGUGGUGCAUGGCCGUCGUCAGUUCGUACUGUGAAGCAUCCUGUUAAGUCAGGCAACGAGCGAGACCCACGCCCACAGUUGCCAGCGUACUCUCUGGAGUGACGGGUACACUGUGGGGACCGCCGCUGCUAAAGCGGAGGAAGGAAUGGGCAACGGUAGGUCAGUAUGCCCCGAAUAUCCCGGGCUACACGCGAGCUACAAUGGUUGGUACAAUGGGUAUCGACACCGAAAGGUGAAGGCAAUCUCCUAAACCCAUCCGUAGUUCGGAUUGUGGGCUGCAACUCGCCCACAUGAAGCUGGAAUCUGUAGUAAUCGUGUCUCAAAAUGGCACGGUGAAUAUGUCCCUGCUCCUU
rnacentral:rRNA from 1 species